GGUGCAGACAAUCACAGGGGCAGGAGACACAGGAAAAGCAAAGUGAACAGAAACAAGAUAGAGGAAAAGGAAGUGCAGACACCAGGAAUGGGACUUCAGAAUAAAACAGGAAACUCAAGAAAUCACAGACAGGGGAUAACAAACGAAACUAAACAGAGGAACACUAGGAAUCUUAAAUGAAUAAAUCAAAGUUCAGAAAUAAUUAAAACAUGAAUAACAGACCCUAAAGAAAUACAAAGACUUCUCAAGCGUUGACAGAGUUCAAGGGGCACAAUCGUGACAAAAGGAUGCAAAGAGAAAUAGUUUGAGAAAGUUUUGUGGUACUCUAGGCCCUGAGACUCCAGUAAGGCAUUUGUGGUCAGUGGUACGUAGAAUAUCAGGGGUAUAUAAAAGAAGAUUUUACCAGUGUUAUAAAAGAACCAGAAUGAAGUAGCAGUUUCAAUAAGGAAAAUGCAGACAUGUUUAUAGACAGUUUUCUAGUGGUGCACAGGUUAGGGAGCCUGGGGGUAGAGAGUUGUAGGAACAGGACUCAGUUGCUGGCGGUUAAUCAGUGGAAGCUGGACUGGAGCAUAGAAAAUGAUAAUCCUAUUAAUUAUUUUUUUUACUGUAGGGGGGAAUGAGCAGGAGGAUCACAUUGCAAAACAGAGCUUAAGCAAGUACAUGUUCAUGUUAAGUAAAUGUUCAUGUAUCCUUGGGGAGAGUUGAGCUGAGAGAAAGAACAAAAGAGGGUUUAAUAAAAGAAUGGCAGAGAGGGUGGGAAAAGGAAGACAGGGGUAGACACUACUUCUCUCUACAACCUCAAGUGAGGAAAAUAUGCUUCUGCACUUCUCUGUCCCGUUGGGAUUAAGUUAAGCUGUGUAGAUUGAGGCUGGGGCAUUGUGGGCCAAAGCACUUUAGGAAUUAGGAUGCAUUUUAGGAAAACAUGUUUCUGGCUUGUGUGAAUGUGGGAGUCCUGAGACAGUAAAGCAUGUUAUUCUGGAAUGUAGGAAGUAUAGGGUAGAAAGACAUGGAUUGUAUGUUAGAUUGUCAAGUUUUGGAGUUGAGGCUUUUUUCUAUUUUAUCUUUGUUUCAACACAGUGAGAACCAUCAACUGAUCUCCAAGGCAAUUCUUCAGUUCCUGCACAACACAGAAUUAACUCUGACAAUCUUUAGCCGAACCAUCUCUGGACACCCUGCAGUUUUCCUUCCAGCCCUGGACUGGAGUGGAAGAUGCCAUCAUCUUUCUGCUGCACAACCCUUAUACUCACCUGGAAGAGGAAGGUGAUGCUGUGAGAGUCAUGUUCAUCAUGCCAUUGAAUGGGCGUUAUCAACACACAUCUUUCCCAUACAUAUGGGCUACUAAACCCACAAUAUAGCAACCAAUAACACCCCCAAAUCCCAAACCCUGAAGUUCAACAGUGAGCUAAGGCAACAUUUGGGGUUGCUAAUUGAUGCUACAGCAGAAUUUAAAACCUGACUAACCACAGCUGGGCUGGGCAGCUGGACUUAAAUCCAACUGGGUGUCGUCACCUGUCAUCAGCCUAUAGGAGAGCAAGAAGGGAGGAGUUUUAGUGGAUGAUUGGAUUAUAUAGGGUAGCAGACAAAGGAGCUCAUCUAAUUUUAGGGGAGAGUGGGGUAGGAAGUGUAAUCCAAUCUGGAUUAGGCCCAGUGGCUUCUCAAGUGGCAGGAGGUGAGCUGGCCACUGUGGGUGUACUUUUGGAUUAGAUAAAAAAAAAAUGGAAAAAAGCUCUUUAUGUGAUCAUGCUUAUCUCAAUUUGGGCUUAA